AUACUGAAAGUAUAGCUAGUACAACUGCCUUCCAAGCAGGAAGCCCAAAUCAGGUCAGUAUA
rnacentral:tRNA from 1 species